rnacentral:lncRNA from 1 species
AAUGUCACAUCUUUACUAUAUAAUAGGAGUUCUAUGCAAAAUAAAUAAAUAAUUACAUUAUAAGGAGACAACGGUCCAGCAACCCAAAGUUGACUGGGAGACGACGGCAUAGACCUCUCACGAACACAUCGCAGCAUCCUCCAUGCGCCACAUCCUGUGGUACCUGUUCUUGACCUGUGGGGGCUGUGAGACAGCAAGAGUGAGCUCACAUACGUUCAUCGCUCAACAAGUUGUGGGGAAUAAUGUGAAUGAACUCGCCAAAGGUGGGAGUUCAUGUGAAGUGUAAGGCUUACCAAAGAGGAUGGUUAGAGCUGAGCAUUGCUUUUAAAGUUGGUCAAAAUUUUAUUAGCAGUUACUAAGUAUAAGUAAAUACCAACCCAAUUAAAUAGUAGAACAAAAGUAACAACCUCACCUGCGAUGCAAUGCAUAUGACAAAUUGAAUUUAGUUCCAUAAUUUAAUCAUGUGAGGGUCCGAGCUGCUCAUGACCGUGAGCACGGCUAGUAUACCAGUUUUACACUCUGCAGAGGUUGUGCAUCUUUACCCAAAAGUCAUGUUACCCAUCUGCCAAGGGAUCGCGACUUCCCAUACACCUCUACCGAGAAGGCGAGGCAGGGUAACACUACGAGGCCUUUACAAAGUUCCACUAGCUUCAGAAAACCCGCUACAGUUUAUAGAAAGCUCCAAUGCAGGGAUCCCUCGCAUGAUCGCCAUCGCAGCAAAAUCAUCCCAAGGACCUCCCUACACUGACCACUCCCCUACUGCCCUUGCCCCUUUCGGGUAAGGUAGUCUUCCACUAGCUUUCCUAAUUAAUCAGCCAAGGGCGUCCAUAAACCCUUGUGGUAGCACUGUUUUCCCGGGUGCUCGCUCCAUGUUCCAAUUAACAUAAUGAUCUUAUCAUGAACAGUAAUAAUAAAUAGAUAAUAAAAGUGUGAUCAUGAAUAAUGUAUCUUCAUACCCACGACCACAUAAAGCACUAGCAAGUACUACCCAAAAAGUUCAGUGCUAAACAAGGUAUAAAGAUAGACAAACUAGGGUAACCUAUUAGGUCCCAUCAAAAUUAACCUAUGCAGAUCAUUAUGAUUAAUCAGAACAUGGCUGGGUAAAAAGAAGUGAUCAAGGGCAUAACUUGCCUGGCGCUUGAGAUUCCAGGUACCAACUUGCUCUUCAGAUGACACGUGUCCUCACGCUAGUCGUAGCAUUACAAACAAACAGUAUAUAGGCAAAAUUAACAUUACACCAAACAUAAGGAUAAACUGUAUAAUUAUGAUCUACGCGUUGCUACAAGAUCGUAGGAACAAGAAUUACUAAAUUCAAAGCUACGGUUUAGAAGAUAUGAUUUUCUAAAGGUUUAGGAGUAGGGUACAAAAGAAAUCAAGUGCAUAACUCCAAUUUAAGUUUCAUAGCAAAUAAAGUUAUCAAGGGAUAAACAAUAUUAAUAUGAAUUUAUAGCAACUGGAAUAGAUUAAUUUGGAGGUAAAAUGGAUUUAAUAUGAAUUAAACAAGUUUCUAGAUUUAUUUUUACACUAAAAAUCAAUUUCUGAUUUAAUUCUGAAUUUUUCCAAAGGCUCUCGACUGGGGGUACAAUUUUCCAAGAAUCCAGGGUCUACUUUAGAAACAUUUGGACUUAAUUGCAAUAAUUUUACAACGGUUAGGGAUGGCGGGUUUAUUUUAUAAAAAUGCAGGAACUCUUUUGAAAAGUUGCUGCCGCGAAGGGGUAUCUCUCGAUCUUAGCCGUUGGAUUACACCGACGGCCUGGAUCAGAUCCCGCCCAUUAUGAACUAGCGAGCGUGCAAAACCGUCCGAUCAAAAUCCAGCGUCCUAGAUCCGCAGCGGCGAAAGGGUAUGCGCGAUCUAAUCGGAACCAUCCAAACUACGAUCAACGGUCGACAGCUUCAUCUAGGCAAAGGGGUAGCACUUUCUAAUCUAAGGCGCUUAUCACCAAUCGGACGGCCCGUGUUCAUCUCCUACCUCCCGCCCCAUUCACUCUCCUCGCAAGCCAGCCCCGGAAGUGACCGAGGCCACCACGGCGUACAGUCCGGCCACGACGCCGUGCCCGCCCAAGCACUAGCCAAUCUGCGACCGCGCGUAGAAGGCAUAGAGAAUGUCAACACAGCAGAAAAGACACUCACCGAUGAUGGGCCCACCACGAUGGCGACCACGGCAUGCCGCGACCCGAUGAUGAACCCUGGACUCAAGAGGAUGUUCACCAAGGUUUCGGUGUUCUGCUUGCUGGCGCCAUUGUCGAGUGACUGCUCAUCCACCGUGACCGCCCCGGUGUGCGUGCAACAGCAGGGCUCCUUGUGGCUACAGUUUUUUUGGCGCCGAUGAAAGCAAGAGCACAGGCUCGUCUUUUACAUCGGAUGCUAGUCGAUGUUGCUACCGGCCGCGUCCUCGGCACCGCUGGUGGAGGCGGGGUGGCUAGAGUUUCGUCGAUGGACGCGACCAGUGAAGCCUUCAUCUUCUUACGUUUCUCUCUGUCGAGUUCUGGUAGCGGCGACGGUCAUAGUG